GACGAAGGGGGCUAGCGUUGUUCGGAAUUACUGGGCGUAAAGCGCGUGUAGGCGGUUGUUCAAGUCGGGUGUGAAAGCCUUGAGCUCAACUCAAGAAAUGCACUCGGUACUGGAUGACUAGAGGACCGGAGAGGAUAGUGGAAUUCCCAGUGUAGUGGUGAAAUACGUAGAGAUUGGGAAGAACACCAGUGGCGAAGGCGGCUAUCUGGACGGUUUCUGACG
rnacentral:rRNA from 1 species